CGAGAUUCUAAAAAGUAAUCAUUUCAGAUUGUUAGCAACUGUACUUGUAUAUUAGUUUACACCCAGAAAAACAGAGUGAACGUUUCAUCCAAUACGUCCGUUUGCCCGGUUUUCACUCUCGUGUAGGUAAACUGGGAACCAUUGACAUUUUUUUCCGGAAUAAUACGUUCCGGAUUAUCGCGGUCCGAGAAAUCGCGGUCCGGACUCUAUCGUUCCGGGAAAUUGUACACUCGGAAUUUCGUCGGCCCCUCCCGUAAUAGAAUAUAUUCCCCAGUUAUUUCCUACGGUUCGGGGUUAAUACACACAGUGUAGGCAUUAUUCGAUUUUCUCGCGAAACAAAAAGUCCGACGAGUUACGGGCAUUUUAUCUUUGCUCGAAAGUUUUAUACGCGCAUCACUCUCGGCGCAAUACAAUUACAUAUU